rnacentral:rRNA from 1 species
CAAUAGCGUAUAUUAAAGUUGUUGCAGUUAAAAAGCUCGUAGUUGGAUUUCUGGUGGGGGUCGCUGGUCCGCUGCGAAAGCGGCGUGUACCGAUGCGUACCUACCGCCAUCCUCGGGGGGACUGCGUGUGGGAUUAGUUUCUCGUGCGUAUGGACGCCCGUCUUUUACUGUGAAAAAAUUAGAGUGUUCAAAUCAGGCUGAGGCCGUUGAAUACAUUAGCAUGGAAUAAUAAGAUAGGACCUUGGCGGUCUAUUUUGUUGGUUUGCACGCCAAGGUAAUGAUUAAUAGGGAUAGUUGGGGGUAUUCGUAUUCAAUUGUCAGAGGUGAAAUUCUUAGAUUUAUGGAAGACGAACUACUGCGAAAGCAUUUACCAAGGAUGUUUUCAUUA